GGUUCCUUAGAUCGUACAUGCUACAUGGAUAACUGUAGUAAUUCUAGAGCUAAUACAUGCCACUAUGCCCUGACCCGCAAGGGAACGGGUGGAUUUAUUAGAACAGAACCAACCGGGUUCGGCUUCGGUCGUUCCUGUUGCACUCUGUGAUGACUCUGGAUAACUUUACUGAUCGCAGUCGGCCUUGUGUCGGCGACGGAUCUUUCAAAUGUCUGCCCUAUCAACUUUCGAUGGUAGGUGAUCUGCCUACCAUGGUGAUAACGGGUAACGGGGAAUCAGGGUUCGAUUCCGGAGAGGGAGCCUGAGAAACGGCUACCACAUCCAAGGAAGGCAGCAGGCGCGAAAAUUACCCACUCCCGGCACGGGGAGGUAGUGACGAAAAAUACGAAUACGGGACUCACUCGAGGCUCCGUAAUUCGAAUGAGUACAAUCUAAAUCCUUUAACGAGGACCAAUUGGAGGGCAAGUCUGGUGCCAGCAGCCGCGGUAACUCCAGCUCCAAAAGCGUAUAUUAAAGUUGCUGCAGUUAAAAAGCUCGUAGUUGGAUCUGGGUCGUGCGAUUGCAUUUCGUUGCUUGGUUCUUGCCUCGGUGAGUUCCAGGUGAUGAUGAGGUGGUCGUGCAGCCUUUCAGCCGUGUCUGCGUGAGCAGGUGUUGG
rnacentral:rRNA from 1 species